GUACGAGUGAGGUUGAGGUGGUGUGACCCGGACUGGCGAUUUAGCCCGGCGCGCAGCCUACUGUGCCUCCCUGGUGGACUCAGCACGAGACAGGCGCUCCAUGCGGCAGCGCUCGUGCAGUCUCUGCGGAGGAAGGUACUGGCUGUAACCCACGAACCGGAAGAGGGGUGACCUGUACCCAGGGCCACACCAGUGUCCGAUUUAAUGUCUUCAUUUUCUCUUUCCUUUAUCCUCUUAUGGUUCAAUGGUUGAAGCUUUGUAGAUAAUUAAAUACAUUUUUUAUUUAUUUUUUAAGAAUGAUCUUAGUUAGCCAGGUUAAUGAAGGCAUUGUGGGUUAACCUUGUCAUGGUUAACCUGAUGGACACAUCUCCGCAUUGCUAAAGAGAAUAUUCAAUGGAUUUUGGUCCAACUCUGCAAUUCCCACGACGCGCAGGCACCGACAGCUUGACGUUUACUGUCAUGUUUGGUUUUGAUAUUAUCUUCCAAAUGUGGAUAUCUGACUGCUGCAUCAUUGUGCAAUUAUAUGGAUAGUAACAAAUAAACUAAUAUCACCCUAUACAAAUGCA